AAUCAACGCUGGCGGCGUGCCUAACACAUGCAAGUCGAACGCGAAAGUUCCUUCGGGGAUGAGUAGAGUGGCGUCCGGGUGAGUAACGCGUGGGUAAUCUGCCUUUGGGUGGGGAGUAACUCAGGGAAACGUUAGGUCGUAAUAACCGCAUAAUGCAGCGGCUCGACAUCGAGACAGUUGUUAAAGCAGCAAUGCGCCUGAAGAGGAGCCUGCGUCUGAUUAGUC
rnacentral:rRNA from 1 species